UAGAGAUGGAGCUACCAGGUAGGAGAAAGAGAGGAAGACCAAAGAGGAGAUAUAUGGAUGUAGUGAGGGAGGACAUGCAGAUAGUUGGAGUCAGAGUAGAAGAUGCAGACAACAGGGAGAUAUGGAAAUGCCAAUGAAAUGUAUGACAUACUUGAGUCCGCCAGCUUUGACAGCAUUUUGCAUGUCCUCGCGUGUCUUCUCACAGAGCGAGACUGAACAGGAGCUGAGGUUUGCUAUCGAGACACGAAUAGACUAUUAAUUUAAAAUACUCUUGAAAACAAAAUUCAAGUGUACUGCAUUUGGAUGACAGUGAAGGAUUAACAUCCACUCUGGUCUAGGUGUACGUGAGGGAUUCUGUCGUUCUUGUGGACAGGUGCGCCUGCAGUUAUAAAAUGAUAAUUAGACUGAAACAUUGGAAUUAGCCAAUUCUGUCCGUGUGCUCAAAACGGAGGACAGUUUUAGGUGAUAUGCCGUGUUUGAAGUCGAGUUGUGAUAUGCUAACUGUAAGUUGCAAACUUUUUGACAUUUUUGUAAAAUGCUACCACAUUGUGGAUGUUUUUGAUAUGGUAGAGGAGACUGACUAAAUGAAACACUCAAAAUGAAAUAAAUGUAAACCAUUUUAAUCCGUUAUUCAAGCCGUCUGAGCCCAAUCCAGACGGACAAAACAGUGAAAACAAGGGGGAUUGUUCUGAAGACUGGCCAUUACCUGUGCGAACACCCCCAUUAGCACUUGAUAAUUUGCUCCAGACGAAAUUAACAAAACAAACAACAUACAAAUGUGUUUAGUUUUAUAUUUAAAUUUUAAAUAACUUUUUAAAAUAUAGAAUUAAACACGCUAAUGAUGGGCCUGCUUACUCCACCCCAGCAUUUGUCUUGCAUUUAUAAGGAUUGCUGAGUGGAGACAUGUUUUCUUUAUUAUUUGGCUCUCACGUAUUCUUAAUACGAAUGGAUACUAACCAACUAAUUCAUGUCUUUAUUUAACAUUACCAGAUCCUGAAAUACUUGACUGCCAGUGACCAUCUGUGUCAACUGGGAUAUGAUGAAGCUCAAGUGGAGGAGGCCCUGGAGAUGUUUCAGAACUGUGAGAGCAAGGCUGCUGAGUUCUUACGGCUACUGACUCAGUUUAACGAAAUGGGAUUCAACCAGAACGCCAUCAAAGAAGUGCUGCUCGUCCAUGAAAACCACCGUGAGAGAGCACUGGAGGAACUCAUGACACACACAGGUUAAAUGUGUCUGUAAAACAUUUAUUUACAGGAUGAUUUAAAAACAGAUAUCGUAAUUUGCAUUCUAAGAAACAAAUACAACUGUGGUCAGACUAGAGUGGUAAAUCAUGGGGGUAUUUGAUAUAGUAAUGGUGGAAUUGUAAUAUUAAAAAAAGAAAAAACAGGUGAGCAUUUUUAUGUUAAACAUUAAUAUGAUGAAGCCAAAUAGGACAAAGCACUAUGCUGUCAGAAACAAAA